rnacentral:rRNA from 1 species
GCGGUGUACCCGCGGCUAGACGGAAAGACCCCGUGAACCUUUACUACAGCUUGGCACUGAACAUUGACCCUACAUGUGUAGGAUAGGUGGGAGGCUGUGAAGCGGUGACGCCAGUUGCCGUGGAGCCGACCUUGAAAUACCACCCUUGUAUGUUUGAUGUUCUAACGUUGCCCCCUUAUCGGGGGUGCGGACAGUGCCUGGUGGGUAGUUUGACUGGGGCGGUCUCCUCCCAAAGAGUAACGGAGGAGCACGAAGG